rnacentral:sRNA from 1 species
UAUAAAGGAAGCCCUGCUAAAGCCUGCCACGUCCUGUGGCAAACGUGGGGUCAACACAUCCUGUUCA